CCAAUAGCGUAUAUUAAAGUUGUUGCAGUUAAAAAGCUCGUAGUUGAAUUUCGGGGUUAGUAGGUUGGUCAUGCCUCUGGUAUGUACUGGUCUCACUGAUUCCUCCUUCCUUAUGAACCGUAAUGCCAUUAAUUUGGUGUUGCGGGGAAUUUGGACUGUUACUUUGAAAAAAUUAGAGUGUUUAAAGCAAGCUAACGCUUGAAUACAUUAGCAUGGAAUAAUGAAAUAGGACGUUCGAUCUUAUUUUGUUGGUUUCUGGGAUUGACGUAAUGAUUAAUAGGGAUAGUUGGGGGCAUUAGUAUUCAAUUGUCAGAGGUGAAAUUCUUGGAUUUAAUGAAGACUAACUACUGCGAAAGCAUUUGCCAAGGAUGUUUUCAUUAAUCAAGAACGAAAGUUAGGGGAUCGAAGACGAUCAGAUACCGUCGUAGUCUUAACCAUAAACUAUGCCGACUAGGGAUCGGAUGAUGUUAAUUUUUUAAUGACUCAUUCGGCGCCUUACG
rnacentral:misc_RNA from 1 species